rnacentral:tRNA from 1 species
GCAGAGGUAGCCUAGCCCGGCCAAGGCGUGGGACUGGAAAUCCCAUGGGGCUCGGCCCCGCGGGGGUUCAAAUCCCCCCCUCUGCGCCA